GACGAACGCUGGCGGCGUGCUUAACACAUGCAAGUCGAACGAUGAAGCCGGAGCUUGCUCCGGUGGAUUAGUGGCGAACGAGUGAGUAACACGUGAGCAAUCUGCCCUUAACUCUGGGAUAACUGCGGGAAACUGUAGCUAAUACCGGAUACGACACCUUGGGGCAUCCCAGGGUGUGGAAAGAAUUUCGGUCAAGGAUGAGCUCGCGGCCUAUCAGCUAGUUGGUGAGGUAAUGGCUCACCAAGGCGACGACGGGUAGCCGGCCUGAGAGGGUGACCGGCCACACUGGAACUGAGACACGGUCCAGACUCCUACGGGAGGUAGCAGUGGGGAAUAUUGCACAAUGGGCGAAAGCCUGAUGCAGCAACGCCGCGUGAGGGAUGAAGGCCUUCGGGUUGUAAACCUCUUUUAGCAGGGAAGAAGCGAAAGUGACGGUACCUGCAGAAAAAGCACCGGCUAACUACGUGCCAGCCGCCGCGGUAAGAC
rnacentral:rRNA from 1 species